UCCAUGUUCUAAGUCACCAGGAGUACCAGACAUCGGAACCCCUCUGGAAAGGACAAUGAGCCCAAGGUGGUUUGGGUUCUAGAAUGGUUUAGCCACAUGUAGUCUAGAUCUCUCUCUAGGAAAGCUAGCGUUUGGCAUAGAGCCCUCUCAUGAUGUUGGGGGAUGCUGGAGGUCCAGUCCUGCAGAUGGAGGCAACUGUUGAAGCCCUUUUGCCAGCGUUGAGUUGUAAAUUGUGUAAAGUCAUCCUUUGUUUCGACGUUGUCGCUUUCUUUUUAACGCACAAAAUGUCCUGUCCCCUGGCUGCAGCCGGCACGUUGUCGUGUCACUGAGCUCCAUUCAGGUUUAGAGAAGGCACGUGAAGAUGUAAGAGGCCUUUUUGCAUUUUCAUAUGUGCAAUUUGUAAAUAACUGUAUUUGUGGACACAUAGAAACAUGAAACCAUUUUCAUUAAAACGAUUUCUCCGUCUGUGUUACUCUUCCUGGGAGCUGGGAGGGGGCGCCCAGACCGGGGCACGACGACGAUGCUCGCUACCUUCUUCCCCCGGAGUCCACUGCUAAAGGUGCUCACCAGACUCUCCCCAGCCCUCACAGCCCACCUCCCAGCUCGCAGGGCGCACAGGAAAGGAGCAGUAUGGGCAGAGGGAGCACCCCAGCCCUCUCUUCCAGCCCCAUGAGCCUCCAGGGCUGAGAGCCCCCAGACACCGAGUGCCACUUGGGGGGUGGUUGGGGCUGGGUUCUAAACGGGGACGUCUUGCUCCGUUGCACCCCAGCCCUCCCUAAGCAAUGGCUCUCCAGUGUGGAGGACCCCUGCCCCACAUCCUGCCCCCGAAUGCCUGCCACCUGCUUCUCCGUGCCCAUUGCAUCCAAAUGGCCUCGUCUUAGCUCUGUACCUACAAGGCAGGAGGGGUCGUAACACUAAGGGCCGACAUUAGCAAAGUCUUUCUAAGAUACUUAAACUAACAUCCAAGCCUCUCAGCACUUGAGGGGAGUGCUACGGCCACCAGGUUCUCAUCCUAGAAGUUCAGAGACAGGCUGGGAGUCCAUAGGGACUCCCUCAGCUAGAGGGUCAGAAGCAGGAUUUGAACCAAGGUCCUCCACACUCCAAGUCCUAUUUCUUUUCCACAACUCCCUUCUCCCCAUUUUACAGAUGAGGAAAAUAAUCCUGAGAGGUGUUAAAUGAAUUACCCACGUUCACCCAGCCUGUAAGUUUCUGCAGCAGGAUUUGAACCUUGGUCCCUAUGACUCCAGUCAAAUCUAACUCCACUCUCCAAAGCUGCCCUGAAGCCAUCACCCGCAGCUGACCUGCUUGGGAUCUCUCUGGAAAUCCUUG
rnacentral:lncRNA from 1 species